UCUCUCUUUCUUUGUAACUUUACCUUUUCUCUUUCUCUUUUUUCUUUCAAAUCUCUCAAAUUUCACUUUCAAAUUUUUUUUUCCUCACAUUUUUCUCAUAUUUUUUAUAAGGAUUGUGAUCCACAAAAUCAGGAUAAUCGGAGUUGAAUGAAUAUUGUAGAUGAUUUUGGGUUGAUUUGUUGUUGAAGAAGACAUGGAAGAAGAGGGAUUGUGGUUUGUAUAUGGUUACAUACGCAGAGUUCCUUUCGUAUGGUCAAGGCAUUCCUUCAGUUGAGUUCAAUCCCAACGUAUUUCGUACAAGAUAUGCUUCACUAUUGUGAAAUUACAUCAUGAGGAAAAAAGAAGAAAAAGCUCAAAGUGACGACGAAGCGUCAUUGAGGCCUGUUAGAAAAAGUAAGAUAACUAGUGUCACAGAAGUAUUAGAAAUCUGAUGGUUGAUGGUUUUAUUACAUUGUAUAAUUGACAAGAUUUAACUUGAUAUUGAUAUUAAUUGUAGAAACUUAUUUUAUGUUUUGAAGUGAAUCAAACUUACUUAUAUUUGAAGUGAAUGAAAGUAAUUCACUUUAGUCUUUUAUGUUGAA